rnacentral:lncRNA from 1 species
AUUUUUUGAAAAAUAUACAAUAAGUGUAUACUUUGUCAUACAUCCUAGUUGUACUUUUUUCACUUUUUGUGUUUGUGUAUAUGAAUGUGUUAAAAGUGUUAAUUUCAUAUAUAUAUAUAUAUAUAUAUAUAUAUAUAUAUAUAUAUGAUAUAAUAGUUACUCACAAACAUGUGGUGAUGUGGUGAGCUGUGUAUGUGCAUGUGUGUGAAAGUGAGAAAGAGAAAAAAAGUGGUGUUCACGUGAGUAAGACUAAUUAAUUCUGUUCCUCAUCACAAUUCUCACCACACUUUUCACAUACACAUAUCAAUAAUAAUAAUAAUAAAAAAAACACAGCUGACAAUAUAUUUUUCAGAUGAUGACGAUGAUGAUGAUUAUCAUAAAGGAUCCAUUUGUUCACUGUGUGCCCACUGUGAGCAUUGCGACAGCUGUGAUAAGUGCCCAUGCAAAAAAGGAGACGACUCUGAACACUGCGACUUCUGUGAUGACUGUGGAAAGUGCUACAUGUGUCCUGUUUGUGAGACCGUCUGCAAGCCAGGUGGCUUUGUUGACUCUGUUUCUGGAUCCAUCUAUAAGACUGUCGCAGACGUCUUUAAUGACGACGACGAUGACGACGACAACUAAACCAAUUCGUCACCAGCAUGUGGCCAAAAGAGGAACGUGCAAUUGGGCGUUGCGUUUCACAGAUUUCAGGAUUUACAUUGUAGCGUUAUGUUCAUUGUCAUUAAGUUAUUUUUCUCUUUUUAAUGUUACCACAUCACACGCUACAGUCUGGUCAAUACAUAUACGUGGAACUUAAAUAAUUUCAUUAGGCUACCUUAAAUUAAAUGUAUUUAACUGAACAACAUUUCCCUUUUAAACAGUCUUGUUAUUAACAUAAGUUAUGAUAUGAAAUGUAAUUGCAAACCUAACCGUGUUGUUUUGAGACUACUUAUGGAAUAAAACGAGGGAAUGUUUUAUUUAUGUGUGUAAGUAAUAAUACUUUCAAAAACAUACAUUAUAUCAGUGUAGGCAGAGUAUAAUUGUCUGUGAGGGAUGUCCUUACUGUCUCUGUUGAAUAGGUUGUAAUGUUUUUCAUUUUGCUGUCAAUUUUUCCGCUGACGAAACAUGAUUUCCAAACAUGAUUUGUGAUAUGAAAUAUGGCCUUAAAGGGAUGUUCAUCCAAAAAACUAAACUGUGUCAUCGUUUACUCACCAUCAUGUUGUUUCAAAGUCAUAUGAUUUUCUUUCUUCAGCAGAAAACAAAGGGAAAAGGUCUGAACUAGCAGGAGCCGGCCUUUAGAUAUUUGAUGUCCAAUAGUAAAAAUGGGCUAAUAAGAACAUAACUAGCACAUUAAAUAUUCAUACUACAUAAUAUAUUAUUAGGCUCUCUGCAUGUAUCAUGAUUGGUCAAUACUCAAUAAUGCUAAACUGUUUUCUCACAAAUGUGAGCAGCUCAUUGCCAUUC